UACGUAGGGGGCUAGCGUUGUCCGGAAUCAUUGGGCGUAAAGCGCGUGUAGGCGGUCCGGUAAGUCCGCUGUGAAAGUCGGGGGGCUCAACCCUCGGAUGCCGGUGGAUACUGUCGGGCUUGAGUACGGAAGAGGCGAGUGGAAUUCCUGGGUGUAGCGGUGAAAUGCGCAGAUAUCAGGAGGAACACCAAUUGCGAAGGCAGCUCGCUGGGACGUUACUGACGCUGAGACGCGAAAGCGUGGGGAGCAAACAGG
rnacentral:rRNA from 1 species